ACCUUAUUUAGGUGUAGAGACCGUUUACAAAUAGGAAGGCGGCAUCCUUUUCAACAACCCACCUUGCUCUUCGCACACUCCUUUUCAACAACUUCCCACCUUUGCUCUUCCGACACUCCAACUCACAUACUCGAUUGGAAAUGGGGAGCAACCCUAUAAUCAGGAUACAACAGGCUACUGGAGUAAAAUUUAAGCUGGGAAAGAGAGUAUUUUGGCACUCAACUCUGGACGGAAAGAACGAGGAAGCAGAGAGGUAGUUGGGAGUCUCUAAUGUGACAGCUCAUGAAUGAAGCAUUAGAGUGAAAAUCUGGGAUUUUGCACUGUAGUUGCCCUCCUUAUCUGAUGAUGAAGCUGUGAUGAUAAAAGGUGUUUAGAGCUGGAUCGGGCAUUGGAAUGACCCGUAUCUUGGCGGGGCGACCCGGAAGGCAUCUUCAUGGUUGCAACCGAGGUAUGCAGCCAUGGCGGUUGCAUUGUCUCUGCUGAUCUUAUCACAGAUCUGAGCCUCAAAAUUGAGGGGUUUAUUUGGCCCUUUUCCCUUUUAAAAAUGGAUGGAGACCAAAAUUGUUAGAUUUUUUAUGUAUAUUAAAGGACCAUCAUAAACCUCCUCAAAGAUGACGGAUCAUUUUUCUCAAGAGAAGUGUAUGCUUUUUACGUACUGUAUGGACUAUUUGAUCAUUUUCUGGAAAACCUGCUAUAUUACCCUCCAUUUGAAUUGGAUUAGCCCAGAAAUGGAGAGAAUGAGGCAACAGAGUGUAUGGGAUUUUUUUUACAAGGGUGGUUGCCCGUCUCUGCUUUGCCUAUGAUUCUCCAACUUUUAAAACAAACCAACAGCCCUUAAAAUAGAAAAAGAGAAAGAGAGUUGAUAGCACUUCAGUUUUCUGGGUUUCUUUGCAUUUUUGCACCCUAAAUGCAUACUCAAAACCCAAUACAUACAACUAUACUGCAACAACUAUGCUACCUUCAGAUCUUAAAGAGGCAGUGAUGAUGAUGUUUCUUAUAUCUGGGCUAACUGAUUUGGCUUAGAGAUGACCCAAUCCGUAUCUUGGCGUGGCAAGUCAGUAUGGCCUGUGAUUGAGAGUUGAGACUCUUCCAUCUCACAUGCAAUUGGUGUUGCAGCCAUGGCGUGGUUGGCUUCUCUUUUGCCUUAUCAUAACAACAAAUCUGAGCCUCAAUUUGUUGAAGAAAAAUAUUGGGUGUGUUUGGUAUGAAGGAAAAUGUUUUCUGAAAAACACUUAUUUUGGUGUUUAGGAAUAAGCAGAACAUAUUGCCUAAAGAGCAUUUAAUGUGACGGAUGAAGAGGCUGUGAUGAUUAAAGGUGUCUAGGGUUGUGUUGGGCAUUGGAACGACCCGUAUCUUGGCAGGGCAACCCCGAAGGUCUGUUUGAUAGAGGUCUGCAGCCAUGGCGGUUGCUUUGUUUCUGUUGCCUGAUUUUAUUCUCAGAUCUGAGCCUCAAAAUUGAGCAAUUACUGCAUUUGUUACCCAGUUAAGUUUAACUGGAGUGUUGAAGAAAACUGUUGUGAAUUAAAAGUUUAGUUGUAAAUCUGGCUAUUUUUGAAUUUCUCCCUAAAUAGUAGUCCAACCUGUAUACACUAAGAACUAUUUUGAUCAUUUUCUCGAAAACCUGCUAUAUUAGUAUUGAGACGGCGAGAAUGAGGCAACAGAGAGUACGGGAUUUUUUACAAGGGUGGUUGCCCCUCUCUGCUUUGCCUAUGAUUAUCCUUUUUUAAACAAACCAACAGCCCUUAAAAAGAAAGAAGAAAGAGAGAGAGUACUAUACCACACUACAACUAUGCUACUUUCAGAUCUUAAAAGAGGCAGUGAUGAUGAUGAUUCUUUUCUAUUUCUGGGCUAACUAAUUCGGGCAUGGAGAUUACCUGACCCGUAUCUUGGCGUGGCAACCCGGCAUGGCCUGUGAAUGAGACUCUUCUCUCACACAUGCAACUGAUGUUCAAUGUUUUGCAGCCAUGGCAUGGUUGGCUUCCCUUUUGCCUUCCAUGACACAAAUCUGAGCCUCAAUUUGAAAAAAAGUUAUCGUUUUGCAUUAUCUUCUGGGGGAUGAGGCUGUGAUGAAAUGUCGAAAGGUGUCCAGAGUUGGUCCGGCAUUGGAGCAGCCCGUAUCCUGGCUGGGCGUCCGGGAGGCAUGGUUGCAACCAGGUCCGGAUGGUGGUUGCAUUUUCUACAUUGACUGAUUUUAUCACAGAUCUGAGCAUCAAACUUGAAGUAAAAGCAUGUUUGGCUUAGCUGAAUUAAGUAGCUUUUAAGCGCAUUUUUUAAGAGGAUGUUUGGAUUUUGGAUGGGCUUAAAAAAAAGCUUGUUUCGGUGUUUGGCUUUGUAGACUUUGUUGUGGUCUACAAAGAAACAGCUGGGCUACUGGUGCUCUGGUCUUAUUUCUACACCAUAAACAGAAACUGGAAUACUCAACUCAAGAACAGAAUGGGGCUGCAUAUGGAUGGAAAGUUUCUAAGGGUGUUGCCUUCCAUCAGCAUGCCUGUGAUAUCUCUGUAUUCUGCUACUGACAAAGCAGCACCCCUUCUUUCAUGCUUAGCUAGCGCUCUAAUGGUUAUUCACUAUCUGCCAUAUUUCUCACACUAUGUGCUUCUUCUUUCUUGGUCCAUAUCUUUUCUUUUUCACAAAUCUCAAUCACUAUGAGCAAUAUUGCUGUUUCUUAUCUGUAGGCUGUGAUGAUAAAGUUUCUUGACUUCAUUGGGUUUGGGUCUACUGGACUCAUAUCUGGCGGGGUAAACCAGGAUAUUGUAAGCAGAGUCUUUCCUUUCUAGCAUGCAAUCCUUGUUUGCAGCCAUUGCGGUGUCCCUUUCCUUCACCUGAAUUUAUGACAGAUCUGAGCCUGCUUAUGUACUCAUGAGUGUCACUUCUAGAUAGAUAUCUAAAAAUAGAUGGAAAUAACUGUUAGAUAUGCCUGGAGAAAGAGGACAAUGGUGAAAAAAAGUGAAAACUACUUUCCCUUUUGAUGAAAUAGGAAUUGUUAGAUUCUUAAUGCAGACUUACACGGGCUUUCAGUUAAAAGUUCUCUGGUUGGAUUAGCCCAGAAAAUGGCGAGAAUGAGGCAACAGAGAAUAUGGGAUUUCUUUCAAGGGUGGUUGCCCCUCUCUGCUUUGUCUAUGAUUCUUCCCCUUCUCAACUAACCAACAGCCCUUAAGAGAAAGAAAGAGAAACAUAGCACUUCAGUUUCUGGUUUUCUCGAUGACUAUUUGUGAAAUUUCCCCAAUAUACAAGUAUAUCACGAUAAUUCAACAGCCUUCAGAUCUUCAGUCUUUCUGCUCAUGGUCCUUUGCAUGUUUCUUUCAGUUUAAUCUCGCUGUCUCAUUGUUAAUGGAAACUUGAAACUGUUCCAUUAUAAUGCGUUUUACUACAGAAAUGUACUGUGAUGAUGCUUAUGAAUCUUUCUAUUUUUGGGCUCAUUAUUGACCAUUGAGAUGACCCGACCCGUAUCUUGGCGUGGCACCCGGUAUGGCCAGUGAUUGGAAACAACUCUCUCUCUCUCUCUCUCUCUCUCUCUCUCAUGCAACCGGUGUUGCAGCCAUGUCGUCGCUGUCUUCUCUCUUGCCUUGUCAUUAUAUGCGUCUGAGCCUCAAUUUGCUGAAGAACAUCAGUAGGCGUUUGGACAAAUAUUAAGUUGAAGUUGAGAUAUUCUUUUAAAUGCAGACUUGUGAGGUCUCUUCGGUUAAUAGCUCUCAUCUGAAUGAACUAUGUUUAUUAGAUUAGCCCAGGAAUGGCGAGAAUGAGGCAGCAGAGAGUAUGCGAUGUUUUACAGGGUGGUUGCCCCUCUCUGCUUUGCCUAUGAUCCUCCCUUUUUCAACAAACCAACAACCCGUUAAAAGAAAGAGAGGCAUAUAAUAGCACUUCAGUAUUUCGGUUUCUUUGCAUUUUGCACCCUUUUAAUGUAUACUCUCACGACUAUACAACAACUACACAGCCUUCAGAUCUUUUAAAGAGGCAGUGAUGAUUUUCAAUAUCUGGGUAACUAAUCCGGGAAUGGAGAUAACCCGACCCUUAUCUUGGCGUGGCAACCCGGUAUGGCAUGUGAUUGAGACUCUUCUCUCUCACACACAUGCAACCGGUGUUUUGCAGCCAUGGCGUGGUUGGCCUCUCUUUUGUCUUUGACAUUACAACACAUCUGAGCCUCAAUUUGCUAAAGAAAUUAUUAUCUUUUCCAUAUUGAUAUGGAAAUCCCCCAGACCCCACUUGUUGGUUUGUUGUUGUAUAUUGAUGUGGAAAUAUUAUUACCCACGCCUUUUUGUUAAAAGUUUUAAUGCUUUUAGGUUAUAAAUCCAAUUUUUUUAUCACUACUUUUUGAUAUACUUGUAUACGGGAGUUUUUUCUCCCUUUUGAUUAAUACAAUUUACCUUGUCAAAAAGAAAAAAACCCAAUUUUUUAUCAGUAAUUGGAAUUCACUCUAUGAUCCUCCAUCUAAGCUAAUUCCCUUACCCCAGAAAUGGCAAGAAUGAGGCAACACGGAAUUUCUUUCAAGGGUGGUUGACCCUCUCUGCUUUGUCUAUGAUUCUCCAUGUUUAACAAACCAAUUUAAAAAAGAAAGAAAGAAAGAGAGCACACUUCAGUUUCUGGGUUUCGUUGCGUUUUUGCACCCUUUAUGUGUACGCAAAACCCAAACACACCUCCAGAUCAUCAGUCUGUCUCAUGGCUUUGAAAGCUCGUAAAAGAGGCAGUGAUGAUAAUUUUUUUUGUAUCUGGGCUAUUUAAUUCGGGCAUGGAGAUUACCCGCUCCAUAUCUUGGCGUGGCAACCCUGUAUGGCCUAUGAUUGAGACUCUUCUCACUCGUGUAACUGGUGUUUUGCAGCCAUGGCAUGGCUAGCUUCUGUUUUUCCUUAUCAUAACACAUAUAAGCGCAAAGCUGAUCUAGGAUUUGAACUUUGUGGGUUCGAGUUCAAGAUUUUACAACUCAUUUGAUAUACUGUGUUGAAAAUCAAGUAUUUGUACUUGUUUAGUAAACUUUUUAACACAUGUAGAGGGUUUGAGUCAAAGCUACUGUUCAAAGGAACCCAUGCCUAAACCUCUCUUUCCGCCCUGACUCAGCCUCAACAUGCUUUUUUCCCCCUUCCUGAAAUGGCAUUGGCCAGUUAUUUAAGUUGUUUUCUCUUUCGCAGGCAAAUGAUGUUUUUGCAGCCAUGGCAUGGUUAACUUUUCUUUGCCUGAUCUUUUCUGCAGAUCUGAGCCUCACAUUUUUGUGUCAGCUGCAUUUUCUUAUUCAAAUACACAUAUUGCACCAGAUUUUUUUUUAAUCUUCAGAUGUUGAAUAAAAGAAUAGGCAAUAUAGGUGUCAAAAUGAGUAUAUUUCUUUAGAGAGGUUGUUCGUGUUUAUUUAUUUUUUAAAAAUCUUUUCCAUGUGAUAUAGCUUUAAUUUAAAAGAAUCAAUUUUAGUCCUGCAGAGUUGUAACUGUGUUUUUCUCUGUCUUUGAUGGCCUUUGUGUGUAUCUUCUAUGUUGUUAUUCUGUGUUCCCUUGACUUUUGAGUUCGAACAGCUUUUGCUUGGAGUACACGUAAAUGGGGCUGUGAUGAUACUUCAAGUACCUUCUUUUCUGGGUUAAUCAAUUUGCAUGGAGACGACCAGACCUGUUGGUUUGGCAACUCAAUGUGGUUUGUGUUAAGGUUUCUCUCUCUCAUGCAACCUUUGUUUUGCAGCCAUGAUGUGGGUUAUGAUCUAGCAUGUGGCCUUCAGGUUAUAAAGUUCCAAGAGAAAGCAUUUUGUUGUAGUGUUGCACCAUGCUGGUGUUGAAUUGUCCGUUCGUGUCUGUGUUUUCAAUAAGCAUCAAAACCAUGAGUUUCAAGCAAUCAUGCCUCAAUCUUGAAAACAGACCCGGGUCUCUCUCUGUCUUGAGUACAUAUCUGACCGCAGCUUUCUUCAAUAUUUCUAGUUUUGUUUACCUUUUAGUUUUCAGAACUACAGCUAGUGAAAGAAAAAUUGAAAAAAGUUAAGCAAAAGAUUAAGUCUUUUAAAGUUCAUUUCAAAAGUUUUGGGUAGAAAUACUCCAUUCGUAUCUAAAAGAUGCUAUUUUAUUCUAUAUAGCAAUUACCAGAGAAUGGAAAUGCAGUAUUUUGAGUGUUAUAGCUGGCCCCCUAAAUCCUAAAUAGUAAGACAAAAAGGGGAACACCCAAAACUGACCAAAGUUUUUAUUUUUGUGACACGAAUUGAAAAGGGGAUUUUUGUUCUCCUUUUUGACUUUUGACAUGAAUUUAGUCAUAAUUAAUAUACAGGGGGUUUGCCCUUUUUAUUCAA